GACGUAGGGCGCGAGCGUUGUCCGGAUUUAUUGGGCGUAAAGAGCUCGUAGGCGGCUUGUCGCGUCGACUGUGAAAACCCGCGGCUCAACCGCGGGUCUGCAGUCGAUACGGGCAGGCUAGAGUUCGGUAGGGGGAGGACUGGAAUUCCUGGUGUAGCGGUGAAAUGCGCAGAUAUCAGGAGGAACACCGAUGGCGAAGGCAGGUCUCUGGGCCGAUACUGACGCUGAGGAGCGAAAGCGUGGGGGAGCGAACAGG
rnacentral:rRNA from 1 species